rnacentral:rRNA from 1 species
GUGCCAGCAGCCGCGGUAAUACGUAGGCAGCGAGCGUUGUUCGGAGUUACUGGGCGUAAAGCGUGCGUAGGCGGUGGUCCAAGUCUGGUGUGAAAUCUCCCGGCUCAACUGGGAGGGUGCGCCGGAAACUGGGCCGCUGGAGUGCGGGAGAGGCAAGCGGAAUUCCAGGUGUAGCGGUGAAAUGCGUAGAUAUCUGGAGGAACACCCGUGGUGCAGACGGCUUGCUGGACCGUGACUGACGCUGAGGCACGAAAGCGUGGGUAGCAAACAGGAUUAGAAACCCCUGUAGUCC